UACGAAGGGGGCUAGCGUUGCUCGGAAUUACUGGGCGUAAAGGGCGCGUAGGCGGCACUGUUAGUCAGGCGUGAAAGUCCUGGGCUCAACCUGGGAACUGCGCUUGAUACGGCAGAGCUAGAGGAUGGAAGAGGCUCGCGGAAUUCCCAGUGUAGAGGUGAAAUGCGCAGAUAUCGGGAGGAACACCUAUGGCGAAGGCAGCUCGCUGGGACGUUACUGACGCUGAGACGCGAAAGCGUGGGGAGCAAACAGG
rnacentral:rRNA from 1 species